GACGAACGCUGGCGGCGUGCUUAACACAUGCAAGUCGAACGGAAAGGCCCUUCGGGGUACUCGAGUGGCGAACGGGUGAGUAACACGUGGGUGAUCUGCCCUGCACUUUGGGAUAAGCCUGGGAAACUGGGUCUAAUACCGAAUAGGACCACGCGCUUCAUGGUGUGUGGUGGAAAGCUUUUGCGGUGUGGGAUGGGCCCGCGGCCUAUCAGCUUGUUGGUGGGGUAAUGGCCUACCAAGGCGACGACGGGUAGCCGGCCUGAGAGGGUGACCGGCCACAAUGGGACUGAGAUACGGCCCAGACUCCUACGGGAGGCAGUAGUGGGGAGUAUUGCACAAUGGGCGCAAGCCUGAUGCAGCGACGCCGCGUGAGGGAUGACGGCCUUCGGGUUGUAAACCUCUUUCAAUAGGGACGAAGCGCAAGUGACGGUACCUAUAGAAGAAGCACCGGCCAACUACGUG
rnacentral:rRNA from 1 species